GACGAACCGUGCGAACGUUGUUCGGAAUCACUGGGCUUAAAGGGCGCGUAGGCGGGCCGGCAAGUCAGGGGUGAAAUCCCACGGCUCAACCGUGGAAGUGCCUUUGAUACUGCCGGUCUGGAGGGAGGUAGGGGCGUGCGGAACUUCCGGUGGAGCGGUGAAAUGCGUAGAUAUCGGAAGGAACACCGGUGGCGAAAGCGGCGCGCUGGACCUCUACUGACGCUGAGGCGCGAAAGCCAGGGGAGCAAACAGG
rnacentral:rRNA from 1 species